rnacentral:rRNA from 1 species
UACGGAGGAUGCAAGCGUUAUCCGGAAUGAUUGGGCGUAAAGCGUCCGCAGGUGGCUAUGUAAGUCUGCUGUUAAAGAGUGAGGCUCAACCUCAUAAAAGCAGUGGAAACUACAUGGCUAGAGUGCGUUCGGGGCAGAGGGAAUUCCAGGUGUAGCGGUGAAAUGCGUAGAUAUCUGGAGGAACACCGGUGGCGAAGGCGGCAUCCUGGACCGAUAUUGACGCUGAUGCGCGAAAGCCAGGGGAGCAAACGGG